AUAGUCAAUUGUUACUUAAUUUAUACAUGCAAGUAUCCGCGCCCCUGUGAAAACGCCCUUAAAUCCCCAGUAGGGAUAAGGAGCCGGUAUCAGGCACACCAAUUAUGCCCAAAACACCUAGCUAUGCCACACCCACAAGGGAUCUCAGCAGUGAUUAACAUUGAACAUCAGCGACAGCUUGAUUCAGUUAAAGUAGACAGAGCCGGCUAAUCUGGUGCCAGCCGCCGCGGUUACACCAUGUGGCUCAAAUUGACCACCUACCGGCGUAAAGAGUGAUUUAAGAGUCCUUAAAAUUGGCGUCAAAUUUGUACUAAGCUGUGACACGCUUGUCCCUUAGAAGCCCCAAGACGAAAGUUACCCCAAUUAAACCAACUUGAACUCACGACGACCAAGAAACAAACUGGGAUUAGAUACCCCACUAUGCUUGGUAGUAAACCUUAAAUUACACCCUAAUCGCCUGGGAACUACGAGCAAAGCUUAAAACCCAAAGGACUUGACGGUACCCCAAAUCCACCUAGAGGAGCCUGUCCUAUAAUCGAUAACCCCCGUUUUACCUCACCCCUUCUAGCUAUUCAGCCUGUAUACCUCCGUCGUCAGCUUACCCCGUGAGCGAAACACAGUGAGCUUAAUGCUAUUUCACCAACACGUCAGGUCAAGGUGCAACUCAUGAAGAGGGAAGAGAUGGGCUACACUUCCUAAUCUAGGACACACGAAAAACUACCCAUGAAAUCUAGUUUGAAGGCGGAUUUAGAAGUAAAAAGGAACCAG
rnacentral:rRNA from 1 species